GUCUGCUGGCUGCUCAGGUGCUAUACAUCACUGGGUAAUUCAACUGCUUUACAGAAGGGCUGUUUUUUGUUUCUGUCUCUUAAUAUAUAUAUAUACCUCUAAACUGUUUUGAGAGCACUGGCUUAGCCCAGAGAGGUGCUGCAAGGAUUAGCUAAUUGAUUAUUUUAAGUGCUUUGAAACUGGCAGAGUUUAGUGAGAAGAAUGGGCUAAAUAAUUUUAGCAGGCUCAGUGGGAUAACACAUUCUAUCAAAUGGCUCCUAAUUUGCUUUGUUAUCUAGUAGGACUCGCUUAUUAGACAACAUGUCCCAUAAAAAUGAGUUAUAAAUGUUAUUGCAUGUAAAACAUGACCUGAGGAAAUGCUCUAAGAUGCGAAGAGGUGUUGGAAAGUACACAAAGCUUUCGUCAAAUGAAGCUGCAGCUACUGAAAGCACUUGGAUUUCUCUGACUCCAACAAAGCUCUGUGAAGCGUUUCUGCUCAAGAUCACCUACCUAAAAUAUCGCCACUCGUCACUCCAUCUCACCUUCCCCGAGCACUGUUUUAAAAUAUCCAGUCAAGUGGGAUGGAAAUGUCUGAGGU